rnacentral:antisense_RNA from 1 species
UAUUAUGGCGGAUCAGACAGAGCAGCCUUCGGGCUGGCUGGUUUUCUCAAAUGUCCGGUAUUGCAAACUCUGUUUGAUCUGCCACCCAU